CUGCUGUUACCGCCCUUGGUUCAUGGCUUCUUUCACUUGGAAACCCCAGGAGCUAAGUUCCUGUUGACGAGGCGGCCCAGCUCCCCAGGCGUGGCUGUGUUCCGGAUAUCCACAUCGUGGGGCGACACAUAAAGCUUUGUGUCAUUCAAGUCAAAGAACUCGACUUCUGUGAGACCCACCCACCACGAGUUGCCCCAGUUGGACAGGAUCUCCAUGGUCACGUAGAUGGCAUCUUUGAUCUCGUCUGCCCUCAUUCUCUGUUUGUCCUUAAAGAAGAGAAAAAUAACACCAAAGGAUUAAGUCAUGACAGGCUUGAAUUCGGCUCUGCCUCUGCCACCACUGCCUUCAAAAAGUUAGUUAACCUUCAGGGUCUCAGUCUCUCCAUCUGUACAAUGAGGAUAAGAAUAGCACCCACUACCUAUGGUUAUUACAAUGAUUAAAUGAAUUCAUACUGUAAAGCAUUCAAAAUAGAGGCCCUGUGUAACUGGCACUCUGUGAGCAUUCUGUUUGAAAGUUUACAAAUAAAUAAAAAUGUCUAAAAAGCAUUGAA
rnacentral:ncRNA from 2 species